rnacentral:lncRNA from 1 species
GACAAUGACAAGAUUUGAAGCUUUCUGCACUUUCCUAGGUUUGGUGGAAUAACACCAUCUAGGUUGUUAACUGGGAUGUGAAGAACUUCCAAGUUUGGAAGAUUUUCACAUAUAGUUGUUGGAAGAUUACCAGCAACAUUGUUUUCGAAAAGAGUAAUGAUCCGCAUUGUCGUAAUGUUAAAGAUUGAUGGAGGUAUAGAACCAGUAAGCUCGUUUUCUUGUAGGUCUAGAAUAGUCAUGUAAAACAUAGUUUUUGAAAAGAGUAACGAUUCGCAUUGUCGUAAUGUUAAAGAUUGAUGGUGGUAUAGAGCCAGUAAGCUGGUUUUCUUGUAGGUCUAGGAUAGUUAUGUAACGAAGAUUACCGAGUUCUCGAGGGAUCUCUCCUUCAAGAAAAUUGCGCGCCACGCUCAAUCCUUCUAGUUUUGUUAGAUUGGAAAGGGAAGGUGGAAUUUUCCCACGAAAUUGGUU